rnacentral:rRNA from 1 species
UACAGAGGGUGCAAACGUUGUUCGGAAUUACUGGGCGUAAAGCGCGUGUAGGCGGCUAAGUAAGUCGGGCGUGAAAUCCCACGGCUCAACCGUGGAAGUGCACUCGAAACUGCAUAGCUAGAGUCCUGGAGAGGAAGGUGGAAUGCUUGGUGUAGAGGUGAAAUUCGUAGAUAUCAAGAGGAACACCGGUGGCGAAGGCGGCCUUCUGGACAGUGACUGACGCUGAGACGCGAAAGCGUGGGGAGCAAACAGG